CUUGACUACUGUAAUCCGCUUCUCAGUGGUCUUACGUGCUCCCAACUAGCGCCGUUACAGUCCAUAAUGAAUGUGGCGGCAAGGCUAAUCUUCCUGUCCGCACGUACCUCCCAUGCCUCACCCUUCUGUCAAUCCCUACAUUGGCUUCCUAUAAAAUAUAGAGCUCAAUUUAAAAUUCUGGUUCUUGCUUUCAAAUCUCUACAUAAUGCUGCUCCCACCUAUCUAUCCUCCCUUAUACACAAGUAUGUCCCUUACGAUCUGCUGAAGACUUACGUCUAUCGUCUGUCCGUACUCCCACCUCUGAUGCUCGCCUUCAAGAUUUCUCGAGGGCUGCACCGUUCCUGUGGAACUCGCUUCCCUCCUCCGAUAGAUGCUCACCCAGUCUCCACUCCUUCAAAAAAUCGUUAAAAACC